GUUUUUAAAUACCAUAUGGAGUUCAGUGUGGACUAUGGAAAAGGGGCUGAUCUGUCGAGAAGGGACAAAAAUACUGUCAAGCUGGAGUCUCCACGAGUGAAAGGAGCAGAAGACAAAGUAAAGUACAGGUAUAAAUAUGAAGAAGAUCUGCGGAAGGGACAUGGAAGAGACUUAUGGGCCUCGGACAUAAGGUUACCAGGUUAAUGAACUAGAUGGAUGGGAUAGAAAGGACUGACAAAACCCGAGACCAGGAGGAAGAGACGUUGGAUGAAGAUUGGAGAAAGUUUCAAAAAUUCUAUUUAGGAAUGUUUUCUAAAAUUAAUGAGUAUUUUAAAAAUGUUGGAACGAAAUUAUUUGGCUUUAGCAGAAAUGUUAAAAAGAACUAUGCAAGAAUAUGUCAUGGUUAUGAGAAAUUGGUAUAGAUAAGACUCAAGUUUUAAGUUUUAGGGUUUUUUAUAGUAAGAUAAGGUUAAAAUAGAUUAAGGUAAUUUAAUGACGGAAUAUUAUGAAAAAUGGGAAGGAUUUGCUGUGAUAAUCAAUAACUAGAAUACAAAAAAAGGGAGGGGUGAGGAGGUCGAUGAAAUAAGGUAAUGACAGUUAAGGAUUUGGGAAUAUUGGAUCUGUUUUUAAACUUUUGUGGUUUAUUUUUGUUUUUUGAUUUUGAUGUGUUAUGUGUUUUGUUUUUUGCUUUUUGCUUUUGAUUUUUAUCGACUUGUAUUGUUUGAUUGUGGUUUGUUUUUUCCUUUUUUUUCCUUCUUUUUCUCUUUGACUUUUAUGUAAUCUUAAAAUUCUUAAUAAAUAUCAUUUAAAAAAAAAAGAGUCAUAGAGCAAAAAAUACGGUACAUCCCAAACCUGAUGGUGAUGUACAUUUCAAUGUUUCAAUGUUAAGUCUUUCACAAAAUAAAUGGAAACUCAAAUGAUAAAUUCAGGAAAAGUAGGGCAUGACGCUAGAUAUGUGGAGAGUUUGUAAAAAGGUGAGAGAGUAAUGAAUACUAUUAACCAAUAAUAACAAGUACCUGUACAGCAAUGAGAACUAAUGUCCUUUAUUACUAUUGACAGUAAGAUAUUGUGAUGCAGCUAUUAGAAAAUAACUCACAUUCCACUCAUAACAGAAUGGGAAGUAAAAAUGUACAAAUACAAAAGCUACUUAGAGUGAAAGAAGGAAGGCAGAAGCUAAAAUGUUUAGACAGAACUGAGCAAUGUUUACUGAAUAAAUUUUUCACACAAUGCAAAAUGUUUAUUUGAGGUAGUAUACUGUAUACCAAAUUAUGAAUGCCUCAAUGACAAUGUCUCAAUUUUUAAAAAAAGAAUUCCCUGUUUUGGAAAUUCUCUCACAUGUCUCUUCUUCUUCUUUGGCGAUCACUCAUAGUCGAGUAAGAUGUCUUCCAUAAACACAGUUUUAACAAUGAGUCUGCAAGUGACUGUGGAUGUCAAUUCUGGACCCACACAUCCUUCCACAAUGGGGACAUUGGUUGCCAGGUGGGAGUUGAUCAUGGUGUGGAUUUGCCAAGCAUGCCUUCCUCUUAGCAUGUUUCUCCCUUGCGUUCUGAGUUUAAGUGUCUUCAAAGUCCAUGAAACCUUUGGUAAAGGCUGUUUUCCAACUGGAGCUCUCACAGGUCAGUGUUUCCCAGUUGUCUGUGUUUAUACUGCCUUUUUAAAGAUUUUCCUUGAGACAGUCUUUAAACCUCUUUUGUUGACCGCCAGCAUUACGCUUUCCAUUUUUAAGUUCAGAAUAGAGUAGUUGCUUUGGAAGACGAUCAUCAGGCUUCCACACAACAUGACCAGUCUAGCGAAGUUGAUGUUGAAGAAUCAUUGCUUCAACACUGGUGAUAUUUGCUUCAUCCAGUACACUGAUAUUAGUUCACCUGUCUUUCCAAGUGAUGUAUAAGAUUUUUCAGAGACACCGUUGAUGGAAUCUUUUGAGACGGAGAUGGCAUUUGUAAGUGGUCCAUGUUUCACAAGCAUACAGUAAGGUUGGUAGUACAAUAGCUUUGUAAACAAGCAUUUUUGUUUCCCUGCAAAUGUCCCGGUCCUUAAACACUCUGCACUUCAAUUGGGAGAAAGCUGCACUCGCAGAGCUUAGGUGAUGCUGGAUUUUGGCAUCAGUGUUGACCCUUGUGGAAAGGUAACUGCCUAGGUAGAGAAGUGAUCGACGUUUUCCAAUGUUACACCAUUGAGUUGGAUUUGUUGCACUGCAGAGGGGUUAUUUUGUACUUGUUGGUGCAACACUUUGGUUUUUUGGAUGUUGAGUGACAGGCCAAGCUUUUCGUAAUCUUCUGUGAAGAUAUUCAUAGCUGUUAACUUUUCCCUUUUCUUGCGAGGAAUUCUAUUUGGAAUAAGGGAAUUUCCCUUUAAAAAAGGAAAAUGUUGACAGCUAUGAAGAUAUUUAGGAUGGUUUGGAGGUCAUCCUCUGAGCGUGCACACACUACCUUGUCAUCAGCAUACUGAAGCUCUAUGACGGAAGUUAUGGUAACCUUCCUUUUUGCUUUCAGUCUGCUAAGAUUGAAGAGCUUUCCAUCUGUUUGAUAUAUGAUUUCUACCCCAGUGGGGAGUUUCCCCAGUUCUGUCCUACUGCUAUUGUACCUAUUUUAUCCACAUAUGUGAACCACCCUGAGAUCUAUGAAUAAAGGGCAGUAAAUAAAUAAAUAAGGGGGACACCAACUUUACAAAGUUGGGAAUAUAUUUUCUAGGAAGAUAUGAAGUAAUAAGAGUCUUUAUAUGUAUGUUGUGAAAUUGAGGUUACUUAUCUGGAACUCCCAUUUAACUCAAUUAUGUUCAUAUUACAGAAUUGGUUUAUUUAUCAUUAGUUUGAUCCCUGGCCUUGCAAAAGGCAUUAAAUCAGACCCACAUCAAUGGAAAAGAAGAGAAUAUUUGGUUUGUUAUCUCAAAGAAAAUGCACAUCUUUGAUACUGGGCAUCAUUGGCUACUCUUUGCAAAGUCAUAUUCAGAAAGCUCAGUAUCCUAUAGACAAAUAUAUUCUACAGUUUUCUAUCAGGUUCUUAGACCCAUUUUAUCAAGUUGCUAUAAUCUCUUUCCCCUGCCUCCUGAAAAAAGAACACUGCUAUACAGCACUCCAUGUUUAUUACCCCCAAAAUUGCUUCUAAGCUGUUUUUAACAUCUUUGUUUAUAAUGCCAAUAAAUAACACUGGCAAUGGAGUUGAAAAGCCCUCGUCUAAACAACAACAUAUUGUUCUUGAUAACAGGGCAGAAAAAUAUCAAACAAAAUUAUAUAUAGUCGAAAACACUAUUAUUUGUCUAUGUAAUUACUUUGCUGCUGGCAAUCAUAUACAUGAGACAAUCAUAGUUUCUCUGUACCGCUCAAUGACAAUCGAUCUUCAUAAUUUUACAGCAAAACCUUGGACUUUCUGACACUGAAUAAACAGGCUGCUGGUGCGUUAUCAGGAAUGAGAGAGAUAAAGCAGUCAUUGGGAUGGAGAAUGUUUGCUAAGAAAGGAUUGAAAGUGAUUGUGUUUUAAAGGGCUGUCAACAAGUAACAUCAGCUUUCAGCUUUUAAUCUGAAUGUGCAUUUAUCUUUCUAGCUACCUUUAAAGAGAUGCCGUUCAAAGAGUGGGACUCUGUGAAAAUUAAGUCCCUAUUACAUUACUAUGAUGUUACAAGUGUCCAACUUGUUUGCAUUUCUAGUAGCAUCCUAAUGUCAUAAUGCAGCUGUAAUCAAUCCCAAAAUAUAUAGUUGAAGCAGAAUUACUUAUUUAUCAUUAAUAUUUUAAUUAGCAUUUCAUUGACUUUUUAUUUUGAUUCACAAAUAAUUCACUGCCCCCCCUUACAUAGAUAUCCCAUAUGCUUUUGAAUUUUCCACUUCCACACAGAAAUUCAGUUAAUAACAACAGCACUGUUAGUUUUGUUUUGUAUAAUUUUAAGAAGCAGGGCACAAAAAGUGAUACAAUUUUAUGGCAUCUGCAAUAAAAAUUAUUUAGCAGGCUCUCAUAGGACUGCUGAAUGCAUUAAUAAUGAACACUGCAUUUACACUUAAUGAGGUUUGCAUGUCAGACCAAUUGCUCAUCAUGAAACAUACACACUUCUUGCAGAAACAGCACAUACUGGUCAUAAGUAUUUUUUAGUUUAUUGUUUUCUGUAAGGUAUUAUAUGCAAUUUUAACAGAUAAUUUGAGUUUUGUAUAAACUGUCUGCUGUUCCUUUAAUAAUUCUGCUAGCUAAACUAUUAAAACUAUGUGUAGAAAGUAGCCAUGAGAAAAUGGUUACCAAUUUAGUUACUGCUCUAAAGAUCUCCAUAGCUUCUUAUUUAAGUAAUCAACCCUAAUCAAACAUUAGACCUACCCCAAAUGGUCCUCAGUGGGAUAAGUGGGCCCCAAAUGGGCCCAGAUUGGGUUAACCAUGACUGGGGACCCCCAGGUCAAGAGGGUCCAAAUACUUGCACCACUUUUAUUUCAAACAUAUUCAAAGCUGUAGAAUCAUAAGCCACAUAUGCAGUAGAAAUACUAAAGAUUGGCAAUAUUUCAUUAUAUAUUUUUCCAGGGGGGAAAUAAACACUGUGGUGUUAGAAAAAGAUUAAUUAAAGUGUCACAAAUACUUCUGGAAAACAAGAGCUAAGAUAGAGUUAAAGAUGGCAGUAAACUAACCCUUUGCUUUCAAGUGUUCACGCUACCAGAAAGAUGAUGACAAACUAGAGUGAGUUGAAGGAAGAAAGCAAAAAUGAUUAAUGGCUUGGUGAAAAGGAUUUGCAAAUAAAAAUUAAAAUACUUUGCAAUAUGCAGCUUAGCAAAAUUAUUAUACAGGAAGAGGAGAUAUGAGAAUGAUGGUAAAUAAUUCAUUUUCUUUUGGAGAACAAUGUGGGCAUCUGGAACAGUGGUCUAUAGUCAAUCAUUUGGCUGUAGGUUCAAAUUAAUAUGUAACCAUGGUUCAGUUUGGGCUAUUCUCAUUUUCCUUCUCUACUUGAGCUUAUUCCUCUGGCUUCUUCUCAUUCCAAACUACUUCUAAUGCACCUUUGCUUCUCUUGUGCUGCUGGAUUAUUUGUUCCUAUAUCUUGCCAGUGAUUCCACACUUCCUCCUGCUUGCCUAGUUCCUGUGUGACCUGGCCUACCUCUCCCUAGGAUCCAUCUGAUCAGGGCUUCCAGCGGCAGCCCAAGACUCUUGCUGCUGCCCUAGAUCUCUCUGACAUUGGCUUCUGAUUGGUUGAACUGCUACAAAGAACUUAUCAGCACUUUAUAGAAUACCUUGGCAUCCUCAUAAAAACCCAAGCAGCUAUUUCCACUAGCUUCCCAGCAAGUGAGUUGCUGUUGUUUACUAGGAGGAAGAGGAGAAGGGGAUAGAGAAGCUGAUACAGUACAGACACAUCAGCCAGAGUGCCAUAUUGACUCCACCAAUGUCCUUGCAAUGUGCUGACCUCCCCACUACUACCUGCCUCAGUGACUUUUCUGCUGCAAAACUAGAGUAGUGGCCCUGUCCUACCUGGCAAGCCACUUCUGCCCAAAUAAUAUUAUCAGCCCUGAGUGCUCACUGAAAGGACAGAUCCUGAAGCUGAGGCUCCAAUACUUUGGCCACCUCUUGAGAAGAGAAGACUCCCUGGAAAAGAAACAUCAUUUAUUUUUCAUUGAUGGAUUGCGACCCAGUCCCUUAGCAUACUUUCCCAGUCUCAUGGACCCAUGUAGUAGUCCUACUACUAGUAAUCAUGAUGAUGUUAC